rnacentral:lncRNA from 1 species
CCUGACUUGGCAGGUGGCCACCAGCCACUGUGCCUCCUUCUGGGACCAAGCGGUGCAGAGAGGAGGGGGUUGUGUCCGAAUGUCAAUCUUCACAGACCGCUCCUCCCCCUGCAGAGGUGGGAUUCACCCAUCACCUGCUUCUCCAGGCCCUCCCGCCAAUAUUCUGCUGAGUCUUAAUGAUAAGGACCUUGACUGCUGUGGGUGUGCUCACUGUGGUGGACGUGGACACCUCUGCCUACGUGCCCAGACGCUGGUUGCAGUACAGAUUCCAUAUUAAGCAGUAGUAAGGCCGAAGAGCACUAGCUGGGGCCAACCCUGCCUUUACGAGGUGCUUCCUGCUUACAUUAUUGUUAAAUGUGAGCUCAUUCCUCACUCAGUACCCAUCCCCACCCCGUUCCAUUACCACCGGUAGAAAAGCUAUUUUAUCCUCUUCUCUUCCUCAAAGCCUCAUAAAGGCAUCAGGAUCCCCCCUUCCUCCCUCCCUCUCUUUCUCUCUCCCUCCAUACCUACUUCCUUCCUUCUCUCUCUCUCUCUCUCUCUCUCUCUCUCUCUCUCUCUCUCUCUCAGAGUGGCAUCCUCUGGGUUCCCUUUGGGAUCUUCACUUUAUCUCUCCUGCCAGGGAGCCAAAGGCCUUCCUCAGGAGAACCCCAUCACGAUUUAGUAACAUGGCACUCCCACCCAGCACUCAUAGACUGGUCUACUCAGUGGUAGAUACAAGUCCAGUGGCCACUGUGUGCUUUUCUCAUUCCCCAUUGAAGAGAAUAUUUGACUAACCCCAUUUGUCCCUGACACUAUGACCUGAUAACUCUCAGUUCAAUCCCCUGACCUACAUGGUUUCAUCCAAAUAAAGAUUCUCCAGUUAACAACAGGCCCUGUUCCAAGUAAAAGUUAUCCCAACUGAAACCAUUUCCAGGACUCUGAAAGAGACUGAGGAACAGACUCUUGAAGAAGGGUGUUUGCCAUUGGUCAGUUCAGAGAGUGAAUGGGAAGCCCUGCAGGAAUUUUAUUUGUUUAUUAUUUGUUUUAUAGUCUUAUCUCAUUUCACAAAGGAUCCAACUGUGAAGUCUGGUCAUCUCUGUUCUCUCUCACCUCCCCCAUUCCCAACCCCUGAAUUUUAAUCAUUCCUGAAAACUAACACACUCCCUCUCUCUUUCUCUCUCUCUCUCUCUCUCUCUCUCUCUCUCUCUCUCUCUCUCUCUCACACACACACACACACACACACACACUUGUUUUUGGCUUGGAAAUCGAUAAAAAUGUCUCACUCAAAAAAUAAAGAAGCCACAAACCCAGAGCAAUAGUGCUCCUGUAGUCCCUGCUACUGGGAGGCUGAGGCAUGAGGAUCACUUGAACCUAAGAAUUCAAGACCAUCCUAAGAAACGUAGGGAAAAACUAACCCCCCCCAAAAAAAAGUCCAGCAUCCAUUCGCAGAAUAUUCUAACUUCUAGCCCUAUUCAUUGUCUUAGUUUUACAAAGUAUAAAACUGUCUUUUAAUGAUCUCAGAGGGUUCCUGACAAUUGAGCUAAAGCAAUCUUGAUAUGAGGGUCCUACUUUAUACUAGAUGAGCCUCCAAACUUAGAAAGCUUAAUGAACAUUUUCUUUCCACCUCCAGGAAAAUAUCCCCAUGCAGAACUCGAAGAAAUUGAUCACUUUAAUUAUGUUCUAAAAAUUAAUAUAAAAUAAUGAAUAAUGUAGAAGAAUUAAAAAUUUUUGAUUGAUGAAAGGCUUGAUGCUGUAUAGUCUUGGAAAAGUUCCUAAAUCAGUCAGGCCUACUUUUUAAUUACUAUAAAAUGGGAAUGAUAAUAUAGUGAGUAUUAAAUGAGUUAAUAUAUAAAGAAUGGUUUAACCAUGCCUGGUAAAUAGUAAGCACUCAAAUAAAUGUCAGCUACUGUUACCAUUAGUGUUCCUGUUAGCACUGCAGCAUGUGUGUAAUAGAAUGAACAACAGAUGACACUCUCUAAUACACAAAAGAGAUCUAUCUGAGUACCACAGCCUUACCAGUUUCUGGUUUACACUGUCUUCAAACUGUGCAAUCACUAAAAUAUUUAACAUAGCAGCAAUGAAAGCAGUCCAAAAAAGCAUGACGCCUUCUAUAACUCAUCUGACAAAGCUGAAGUUAGCCCUUGCUAAUUGCAUUUCUUUGUCAUUCACAACUGAAAGGAAAACCCAAAGUCAGCAGAAUUAUAUCACUCGUGCCUAUUGCCUAGUCAUUCCCCUAACCGAAGGCAGAUGACCAGAAAAUGUCACUGCCCCAGGAGUGCAGUCAAUGGAACUAGAAAACCAGAGCCAAUGUCUGAUGCCCCUGUCCAGGACCCAGUUCCUGACCUUAAGAAAGGACAAGUGUUCCAAAUACUGUCAACAAAAUGCACUAUAGUAAAAUAUUUU